CAAACCACAGAACAUGAAGCAUUGUGGGUACCUAUGGGCCAUUGGCAAAAACGUGUGGAAAAGAUGGAAGAAAAGAUUCUUUGUGCUGGUUCAGGUGAGUCAGUACACCUUUGCCAUGUGCAGCUACAGAGAGAAGAAGGCAGAGCCUGUAGAGCUUCUCCAACUGGAUGGCUACACCGUGGACUACACCGACCCUCAACC